AGUGAAAUCUUCGCAUUCAUUUUUAUUCCCGUUUCUUAUGAAACUAUAUCAAGAAAAAACUACAAAAAAUCUUGAAUAAUACAUUAAUACAAAGGUUUGACAAUUUUUUCAUAUUAAAAGGGUAGAAUAUUUCGAAGGUACAAUAAGGUAGAACUGUUAUAACACUAUGAUUCCAAAAAGUUACAUUCCUCUGUGAAAAAUCAAAAGAUCCAAACUUGAAUAAACUCUUCGCUAGAGUCCCAAAGCUAUAUUUGUCUAAGCAAAACCUAAAAGGUAAAUUUUUUUCAAUGCUACAACGAAAUCUUGCAAUAUUUUUGAUAGAAAGUGUAAUCUUCCAAAAACAUUUGAAAUACGACGGAUUCAUUUUUACUCCCCGUUUCUUAUUAAACUAUAUCAAGAAAAAACUACAAAAAAUCUCGAAUAAUACACUAACACAAAGGUUUGACAAUUUUUUCACAUUGAAGGAGUAGAAUAUUUCGAAGGUACAAUAAGGUAGAACUAUUUCAACACUACGAUUCCAAAAAGUUAUAUUCCUCUAUAAAAAAUCAAAAGAUCCAAACUUGAAUAAUUUCUUCGCUAGAUUCUCAAAGAUAUAUUUGUCUAAGCAAAACCUAAAAGGUAAAUUUUUUUCAAUGCUACAACGAAAUCUUGCAAUAUUUUUGAUAGAAAGUGUAAUCUUCCAAAAACAUUUGAAAUACGACGGAUUCAUUUUUACUCCCCGUUUCUUAUUAAACUAUAUCAAGAAAAAACUACAAAAAA
rnacentral:lncRNA from 1 species